UACGUAGGGUGCGAGCGUUGUCCGGAAUUAUUGGGCGUAAAGAGCUUGUAGGCGGUUUGUCGCGUCUGCUGUGAAAAUCCGGGGCUCAACCCCGGACUUGCAGUGGGUACGGGCAGACUGGAGUGUGGUAGGGGAGACUGGAAUUCCUGGUGUAGCGGUGGAAUGCGCAGAUAUCAGGAGGAACACCGAUGGCGAAGGCAGGUCUCUGGGCCACUACUGACGUUGAGGAGCGAAAGCGUGGGGAGCGAACAGG
rnacentral:rRNA from 1 species